rnacentral:rRNA from 1 species
UACGAGUGCCCCGAGCGUUAUCCGGAAUCAUUGGGCGUAAAGGGUGUGUAGGCGGUUCUGUUAGUCUUCCGUUAAAUUCUUCGGCUUAACCGGGGGCAUGCUGAGGAAACGGCAGAACUUGAGGAUGCGAGAGGUGUGUGGAACUCUAUGUGUAGGGGUGAAAUCCGUUGAUAUAUAGGGGAACACCAAAAGCGAAGGCAGCACACUGGCGCAUUCCUGACACUGAAACACUAAAGCGUGGGUAGCGAAUGGG